UACGAGGGGGGCGAGCGUUGUUCGGAAUUAUUGGGCGUAAAGGGCGCGUAGGCGGUGCGGUAAGUCACCUGUGAAACCUCUGGGCUCAACUCAGAGCCUGCAGGCGAAACUGCCGUGCUUGAGUGGGGAAGAGGGUCGUGGAAUUCCCAGUGUAGAGGUGAAAUUCGUAGAUAUUGGGAAGAACACCGGUGGCGAAGGCGGCGACCUGGUCCUUGACUGACGCUGAGGCGCGAAAGCGUGGGGAGCAAACAGG
rnacentral:rRNA from 1 species